ensembl:lncRNA
UUUUUUUUUUUUUUUUUUUUUGCGGGGAACUGUGUGUGCACAACACAGCGAGGGAGUGACCUAGUCCAGGGAGCCGUCUCCCUUUGACACAGCAUGCAGAGGAAUAAAGACCCAGGCUCUAUCAUAAAAUGGGGGCAGGUAAAGAGCAGUUAGGCGAGGGGGCGUGGGCCAUCAGGGUAGGGGCCUCAGUAAACAGUGUUGAACAAGGGCCUCUCCCAGCCCCACCCUGGCUUUAAACCCCACGGUUUGUAGUUCAGCUCCAGAGGCCUCCCAGUGACCCCAAUCUCAUUCCUCUCGACUCAACAGUGAUGGCGGAAGGCAGGAAGAUAAGCUGGACUCCUUGAAGCCGACACCCCCCAGGGAAAUUCCAUCACCCGCCUUGAGCACUGUAGGCCGGGCUGGGGUAAGGGUGGGAUGUGGGGAGAAGGGCGGGGCUGGGGAGAUAAGAGCCUUCCGGGGUGGAGGAGGCAGCCAGUGAGGCCAGGGACUGCGCUGGGGCAGGGGCCGGGCUAGGGGGCAGGAUCCCAGCGGAAGGCCAUCUGCAGCCCUGGCCCUGGCUAAUGGGAUAUCCUGGUGGAAAGCAAGUGGGGAUCUAAUUAGGGUAAAAUCCAGGGCUAAUGAGCUGUGGAAACAACGGGACAAAGGAACGAUUCCCACAAGCUCAGGAUGCGACUCGGAGAGUCCACCUCAACUCGGCCUCCUUCCCAGCUUUUCUACCCCAGGGCCCUUCCUGGCUUCCUUCCUCCGCCUUCCUUGGCCUCAGACCUGCCGUGCGGCCACCGUGUCCCAGUGUCCAUGGCUCCCCCUCAGCUCCAGCUCUGCCUCUCUUCCCAUCCCUUUCGUUCUCUUUCCCUCUCCUUGCCCCUGGUUCUUCAGCCCACGUGUCCCUGGCGUCACCCUGCUGUUCUCGGUAUGCCUCGUUUCUUUGUUCUCCUCCUCCGGGAGUGGGAAGAGCUAGGCUCUGGGCUCCCGGGGUAGGCUGGGUGGCAAAGGGUGAACCCGGAAUGGUUGCCUAGGCAAUGAGGAAAGUAGGACAAACACCAACCAGCAAUCAGGAGAAAAGGGAAGCCCACGGAGGAGGGGACUGCGUCCCAGCCCAGCCUAGCCUGGAGACCUCCUUGCUAACCCUCAGCCCCACUGUCCCCAUCCUGGCUCAUCCCCAGAAGCUGGUCCAGAAGGAAGCUUGAGCGUCUCUGCAGGAGCUCCCGCCUGGCUCCCUCACAGCCGACAUUUGCGCAAGGCCUUUGGGCCAGAGCGAUUCCUGGGCGGCCUGCCUCCUCGCUGCGUGGCCUCUUUCUCAGCAGGCCCAGGGCAUAUUCCUUCUUCCAAAAGACCAGCCCAUCAGGGCAGCCCUAAGAGGGCACACGAGCAAGGCCAAGGAGGGCAGGGUCCUCACCAGGGCAGCUCCCUGCUGUUUCUGGCUGGGAAGCAGAGGACAUGCUGCUUCUUGUCGGCACCCAUGGCCAAUAGGUUUUGUGGAGGAGGAAGGAGGAACUAUGGGGCCUUCUCUGAUGGAAAGGAAAGGAAGAGGCUUGGGAUUGGGAGAAGCUGUGGGGAGGACUUCCAGAGGCUUCAGACGUGAGGCCCAGGCUGAGCCUCCUCAGUGAGGGCCACGGAUGCCUGGCACAGGAGGCGUUUCCAGGCAGGGAGGGAAAGAGACAAAGUGACUAAGGUUUGGGGACAUACCAUGGUGGUGGAGACAGCGUGGCUCACGCUGAGGCCUGAACAAAAAGCCUGAUGGGUACAGGUGCCCUUCAGGCCGGAAGGCGGGGGGCAGGGCGGCCAGCUGCCCCAGUCCUGAGUCAGGCGCUGAGCCAAAGGCCUUGCUUUCCAGGGCUCCAGCACAGGCUGCUCUCCUGGGGAGAACAGCAGCACCUGCGGCCUGCACCGUCCAAGCCAGGGGCCCCACCAGGGUGUGCCCAUGGCCACGCUUGUGCUCUGAGGACUCUCUGUGCCCCUCACCAAGAUGGGGUGAGAUUAUCUGCUUGUGCCACUACCCUGGCUUCAGGCCUAUGAACUCUGC